rnacentral:rRNA from 1 species
UGCGGAAGGAUCAUUAAAGGUUUAGGGUACUCAGUGCCCAAACUUCAACCCUAUGUUUUGUUAAGCUGUUUCUUUGCCGGUUUCGGCCGGCAGAAGACUUCUCAAACUCCUCGUGAAUCUGCUCUGAAUAUAACUAUAAAAUCGUUAAAACUUUCAACAACGGAUCUCUUGGUUCUGGCAUCGAUGAAGAACGCAGCGAAAUGCGAUAAGUAAUGUGAAUUGCAGAAUUCAGUGAAUCAUCGAAUUUUUGAACGCAUAUUGCGCCCUUUGGUAUUCCGAAGGGCAUGCCUGUUCGAGCGUCAUUACACCCCUCAAGCCUAGCUUGCUGUUGGGCCCUGCCGGAGACGGCGGGCCUCAAAGUCAGUGACGGUUACCCCUAACCUCAGGCGCACAGAUGCUGCCAUGGCGGGAAGGGGCCACCGGUAACCCAAGACGUUGACCUCGGAUCAGGUAGGAAUACCCGCUGAACUUAAGCAUAUCAAUAAGUCGGAGGAA